CAAAAAAUAGUUUACCCAAAACAAUAUCCCUGGAAGAUAUAAACGUAGAACAACACUACUUUUUUGA
rnacentral:tRNA from 1 species